GUGCCAGCCGCCGCGGUAAUACGUAGGGGGCGAGCGUUGUCCGGAUUUAUUGGGCGUAAAGAGCUCGUAGGCGGUUUGGCAAGUCGGGUGUGAAAACUCCGGGCUCAACUCGGAGACGCCACUCGAUACUGCCAUGACUCGAGUCCGGUAGGGGAGUGCGGAAUUCCUGGUGUAGCGGUGAAAUGCGCAGAUAUCAGGAGGAACACCGGUGGCGAAGGCGGCACUCUGGGCCGGUACUGACGCUGAGGAGCGAAAGCGUGGGGAGCGAACAGGAUUAGAAACCCUGGUAGUCC
rnacentral:rRNA from 1 species